AGUGAACGCUGGCGGUAGGCCUAACACAUGCCAGUCGAACGGCAGCACAGUAAGAGCUUGCUCUUACGGGUGGCGAGUGGCGGACGGGUGAGGAAUACAUCGGAAUCUACUUUUUCGUGGGGGAUAACGUAGGGAAACUUACGCUAAUACCGCAUACGACCUACGGGUGAAAGCAGGGGAUCUUCGGACCUUGCGCGAUUGAAUGAGCCGAUGUCGGAUUAGCUAGUUGGCGGGGUAAAGGCCCACCAAGGCGACGAUCCGUAGCUGGUCUGAGAGGAUGAUCAGCCACACUGGAACUGAGACACGGUCCAGACUCCUACGGGAGGCAGCAGUGGGGAAUAUUGGACAAUGGGCGCAAGCCUGAUCCAGCCAUACCGCGUGGGUGAAGAAGGCCUUCGGGUUGUAAAGCCCUUUUGUUGGGAAAGAAAAGCAGCAGGUUAAUACCCCGCUGUUCUGACGGUACCCAAAGAGUAAGCACCGGCUAACUUCGU
rnacentral:rRNA from 1 species